rnacentral:rRNA from 1 species
UACGUAGGAUCCAAGCGUUAUCCGGAUUUAUUGGGUUUAAAGGGUGCGCAGGCGGAAGAUUAAGUCGGCGGUGAAAUUUUGCAGCUCAACUGUAAAAGUGCCAUCGAUACUGGUUUUCUUGAGUGUGGAUGAAGUAGGCGGAAUUUGUGGUGUAGCGGUGAAAUGCAUAGAUAUCACGAGGAACUCCGAUUGCGCAGGCAGCUUACUAGGCCAUAACUGACGCUCAGGCACGAAGGCGUGGGGAUCAAACAGGAUUAGAUA